rnacentral:rRNA from 1 species
GCGCAGCAGGCGAGAAUAGUCUACAAUGGACGAAAGUCUGAUAGUGCGACGCCGUGUGUGCGAUUAAUUCCUUCGGGAUGUAAAGCACUUUUCUAUGAGAUAAAAGCUCUUUAGGUUAAUAGCUUAUUGAGACGGAUAUUAUUAUAGGAAUAAGCUCCGGCUAACUCCGUGCCAGCAGCCGCGGUAAUACGGAAGGAGCGAGCGUUGUCCGGAUUUACUAGGCGUAAAGGGCUAGUAGGCGACUAAUUAAGUUAUAUGUUAAAUCCCACGGCUCAACUGUGGUCCUGCAUGUAAUACUGGUUAGAUAGAGUACUGUAGAGGAAGGCAGAAUUCCUGGAGUAGCGGUGGAAUGCGCAGAUAUCAGGAAGAAUACCAAAAGCGAAGGCAGCCUUCUGGGCAGUUACUGACGCUGAAUAGCGAAGGUGUGGGUAGCGAACAGGAUUAGAUA